rnacentral:rRNA from 1 species
GACAGAGGGUGCAAACGUUGUUCGGAAUUACUGGGCGUAAAGCGCGUGUAGGCAGCUCGGAAAGUCGGGUGUGAAAGCCCUGGGCUUAACCCAGGAAGUGCACUCGAAACUUCCAAGCUUGAGUUCUGGAGAGGAAGGCGGAAUUCUCGGUGUAGAGGUGAAAUUCGUAGAUAUCGAGAGGAACACCGGUGGCGAAGGCGGCCUUCUGGACAGUGACUGACGCUGAGACGCGAAAGCGUGGGGAGCGAACAGG